rnacentral:lncRNA from 1 species
UGCCUGAAAUACGGAUCCACGCGGAUCAAAUGCGGAUCGGGCUGAAAUGCGGAUCAACGCGGAACGCUCGCGGAUCUCUAUUGAAACUUGACUGAUCUGUCUGAAAGAAUGAUAUCUAUGCAUCAGGAGGGAAUUUUUAUUAGCUCUAUUUAAGUUUUUGAUAAGAACUUCAUCAUUUUAGCAGUUUCAGAACAGUAUCUACUUGAGCUGACCAUAACUUCAAGAUUUAUGUGUGAAUGUGAUUCAGAACAAUAACAUCUUAUAAUGGAUCCUUUAAGAAAUAAUUAUAAUAAAUUCAUAAGUUUUUAAUGACACAGUGAUAUUAUAGCUUUAA